rnacentral:tRNA from 1 species
GAAUGUGUAUCUCAGUUGGCAGAGCGCCGUCGAAAGGCGGAGGUCGGAGGUUCGAUCCCUUCCACGUUUCUCA